GGGGAUGUAGCUCAAUUGGUAGAGAGAUAUCGUAAUGCUUGAUAUAGGUUUGGGGUUCGAUUCCUCACAUCUCCA